rnacentral:misc_RNA from 1 species
GUCCACAUAUAUAUACACAACGAAAAGCUCGUCCAGUAUUGCUCUUAUUUAGGACGAUCAGAUGUACACAUCCUUACAUAAGUUACAGACGAUAUUUGAGAAUAGAUCGACCUAUUGACAUGGAUGGGUUGAUUGAGAGACCCACAGAAAGACCAAAGAUUUCACAUGGUGAUACGAUCGGCGCGGCGUGCAUGCACAUGGACACCUGCAGGGCUAGCUCCACGGACCUAGCUGCUGGAGGCGGUGGCAUGGAACCUGGCGAUGAACGCCGACGCCUUCAUGUCGACGUCGCGCUCGCCAACGUACCACAGGCCAUCCUCGUCACUCGGCCGCACCUUCCUGGACGACCGCCGCGGCUGCUCGUACCCCGGCUCGUCGGCGUAGUACCCGCCUCCUGACCCGCCGAAGCAAGACAGGCUGGCUCCCAUUCCGGCGGCGACCGACCGAUCACCCGAAGCUUCUCUCGGAGUCGGAGCACAGCACAGACGACAGUUUCAGGCACUGGACGCGGUAAGCUCACUAGGAAACUUCUGCUGCCUGCUGCUGGAGGGUGUGGUAGUUGUGCUCGGAGGUCGGAGGGCAA